rnacentral:rRNA from 1 species
UACGGGGGGAGCAAGCGUUGUUCGGAUUUACUGGGCGUAAAGGGCGCGUAGGCGGUCAGCACAAGUCAGUUGUGAAAUCUCCGGGCUUAACUCGGAAAGGUCAACUGAUACUGUGCGACUAGAGUGCAGAAGGGGCAACUGGAAUUCUCGGUGUAGCGGUGAAAUGCGUAGAUAUCGAGAGGAACACCUGCGGCGAAGGCGGGUUGCUGGGCUGACACGUGACGCUGGAUGCGCGAAAGCCAGGGAGCGAAGCGGG